AAAUGAAACACUUCCAUGCAGCAUUCUGUAGCUUGAACUUUCAGUUUGACUUGAGCUUCACUUAUAUCUGAACCUACCAUCCAGUGGUAUAUUAGUUCAUAAUUGUUUUACCAAAUUUAAAGGAUAUGCUGAAGUUGACACAAAAGGUGGGGUCUCUCAGACUAUAAACAACGUGGACACGUUAUUCCAAUCUUACUUUGAUGCUCAUUCAUUUAACAUAUUUGUAUGCAUCCGUUUUCAACUCUCAAAGACUGUGGUGGAGAAUCCAACAAUGCAGACCAUGGAUAUUGAUGACGACACGUCUCCCAACAAGCCCAGUGUUACAUUUUCAGCUAAUUUUCCAUGGUGGAAGAGACCCUCUGGAGUUGCUGCAGUGUGUCUCGGGCUGCUGUGUGUUCUCCUACUGGCUGGGAUCAUAGGCCUGUUUGUCUACUAUGGCGUCAUUGAUCAUCACUACUCAACAGAGAGAGACCAACAGACCAGUUACAGCCUUCUGACUAAAGAAGGAGAUCAGCAACCAACCAGUUAUAAUAACUUGACUAAAGAGGGACAACAGCUACAGACAGAUUACAACACCCUGACUAAAGAGAGAGACCAGCUACAGACCAGUUACAACACCCUGACUAAAGAGAGAGACCAGCUAGAGAGCAGUUACAAUAACCUGACUGAAGAGAGAGACCAGCUACAGACCAGUUACAACACCCUGACUAAAGAGAGAGACCAGCUACAGAGCAGUUACAACACCCUGACUAAAGAGGGAGACCAGCUACAGACCAGUUACAACACCC